rnacentral:lncRNA from 1 species
UGCAUGUUGUCAAUUGUCAUCAGAUAAAAAUGAUUAAGAGAUUAAACACCCAAAAAAAAAAAAAAACCCAGCUCUUGCCUUUUGGCACUACUCUUCCAGGUUUGAGUUUCAAUAAGCUCUUAGACUACAAGGAUCACAAUAGACAUUUACUGGUCAUCUUGGACAAUCAACAGUAAGGGAAGGGUGCAGUGGUGCCACCAAAACCAGCACAACCAGAAUCUUUUGCAAUCAACAACACAUAAUGGGUUCUAAGAGGACAGUUCCUCACUUGGAUCAAGAAAAAGGUACUGUGGAAUACAUUAAAUCUCCAAUUUAAAGAUCCCAUGGUUAAGAAGAUUGUGAAGUUUUGGCAUAUCGUGAACAGUAGUUUACUUUACAAUGAAUGCAAACCUCUUAACCCUUGGUUGAGGAAGUAAAAUGCCUAUAAUCACCUAAAAGCUCUACCUUUUAAGAGUAUCACAAUAACACUGUGAUACCAAUUCCACCCAAAUCAAAGCCCUGUGAUCUGAAAAUGUGAAUAAGGCCUUACAAGUUUGAAGCUGUGUGAUAAGGUCAUCACAUGGUUGCAUGGGCACUUGAAGUUGUUUAGCUUGAUGAAUGAGCUUGUAUCUGGCAGAUGGUGGUUUCUUCGAAGGGGUGAAGUGACACCUGUAGGCAUAGAAUAUUUGGCACCUAGCAUCUAAGUGACACAAGGACACUCGAGUUGGGCAUCCAAGUAGGUUAGUGCCUAAAAGCUGAAAGGCUGAGCAAGGAAAAUGCUAAGCAUGUUCCUAUAAAAAAAAAAAUGCUAAGCAUGUGAAAUUAGGCAUAUUGGUCAACGCAUGAUUGUCAUCAUCUUAUUUAGUUUAUAAAGUAUUUUUAUAUGACAAAAUAAAACAUAGAAUAAUAUUUCUGAAAUAACAAAAUUAUAUGAGCAGAAAAAUUCAGACCUUGUCAGCAUCAUAUUUUACUAUUAUAUAUGAUACUUAGAGCUUCAAAUACUAGGAUUUCAUCUGGUUAUUAUGAAAAAAAAUGCACAUGUUUGAUGAGGUACUAGUUUAACAAAUUAGCCUUUCAAUAGUCUCUUUUGCCUUUUUUCAGCAAUAUUAUUACGGGAAUCGUUGAGGGCUUCCAUGUUGUCUAUAUUUUCCAGAAUUUAUCGGGCUUCAGAAACUUAUGGCAGAAAACUAAUGAUGGUAUGAGAUGAUAUCUAAACAUCACAAGAUAUUUUCACUUAAAAGAUUCAACCAACAUGCCUGUUUCACACUAUUUUGUUGCCUUUGUAAUUUUUUGUACUCAAAAUUGCAAUUUUAUAUGUUUGAUUAACAUUUAUUUUAUUAGCUUUGUAAUUUUUGAAUUCAAUUGCAUUUUUAUGCAUAGGAAAAGAAAAGGGGCACAGAAAACUCCAACAGUUGACCCCCUAACAGACCUUUAAAACCAAUAUGAAUCCAACAAACUUAAAAACACAUUUUUCCAGCAUCUCAACAUGAAACUUCUAGUUUCACUUUGCUUUGAGUUAAUAGCUAACUGCUCACCCCUUGUGGCAACUAAAAACCAAGACCAUCCUAAUGAAUAUAUAUACUACAUUCUCCAAGUUUCUGGGAAGAAAUCUGUAN